rnacentral:pre_miRNA from 1 species
CAUAUACUCCCUCCGUCCGAAAAUACUUAUCAAAAUGGAUGAAAAGAGAUGUAUCUAGAACUAAAAUACAUCUAGAUACAUCCCUUUUUAUUCUUUUUGAUGACAAGUAUUUUCGGACGGAGGGAGUAGCAC